UGCACUAUUCUUCUUACACACUUUUCUUUAUCCUUUCUGCAUUUGUAUCUUCUAUAAGGUUCAUAUUGUUAUUUGAUCCAUCUGUGUUGUCAUAAUGGAAUCAGUUGGAAUUUAUAAUGAUAGUUUGCUCAUCUACACAUGUCUGGGACUGCUGGCAUUUUGUUUGCUUAUAAUAUGUGUGUCUAAAUAUGGUUGCUCCUCCCUAAAGACAUCAUAUCUUACAUAAGGUCACUUGGACUUAGAAUAUUUUGAUAUUGUUUAUAUUUGGCCCUGUUUGCACUAUAGAUACUUGUGUUAUCUGCAACUGCUUAUUUCUGAGGUAGUCUUUGCAUUAUCUUUGGUGGCCAUUAGGCUCAGUAGGACCCUGACCCCUUCCUGUAUCUCCCUUGCAUAUUUAGAUAUGUAUGUGCUCUGCUUUUGUUGGUAUCACAGUAGUUGGAGAAUUAUUUAUUUUGUGUGUUGUUUAUCCUGUAAGUAAUUGCCCCAACUAUGGAAAUCUAAUCCCAUCUGCUUAAGUUUUAUCCAUGAUAUGUCCAUUAGAGUCAUAGACCAUGUCUUCCUGCAAACCUGUAUUCUGUGUAAGUUUAUCUAAGAUUAAAGCAUUGCCAUAAUUCAGUUAUAUGUUUGCUUGCCUUGGCUGUGCAUAAGUCAUAUAUUUUCCUUGUAUCAUGGCCACAUGGUGAAUAACUCUGCAUUAUCCUUAUGAAUAUAAACAUAUAGUUUGCCUCUGUUUGCACUAUAUUAGUACUGAAGUUUGCUUUUUGUUCACCCAUGAUAAUGUGUCUUGGUUUUGCCUUUGUUUACUUCAUAUCUAUAUGUUGCAGUUGCUUUUGUUUACCCUAUGACCAUGUAUUUUGGUUCUUGCUCAUGUUUACACCAUGCCCAUUUGUUUCAGUUUGCUACUAGUUAUACUAUACCUAUAAAUGACAAUUUGCUUAUGGCCAUACCAUACCUAAUUACCUCUGUUUGCUUUUGGUUAUACUAUGUCCAUAUGUGUCAAUCUAUACCAUGCUUGUGCAUGAGUGUAAGACCCUGUUUUUAUCAUUUUUCCUUCCAUGACUGUACUGGCUAGGAAAUUAAGGUAAUUUUGGGGUCUGGUUCAUGAAACCUCUUGGAUCUUGUGCGGCUUCAGGAAUACGGAUGGUGAUGACUUUUCCCCUUUACUUCCUAAAUCCCCACCAGUGAAGCCUAAUAGCACAUGUACAAAUACUUUAAUUGCAUGACUUGUGAAUGAAUUGGAUACAUAUAUGUGUAUAGUUAUGUGUACGACAAGUUAAGUAAAUAUAAACUAACUGGGUUUUCCCUUUCUUUUUCCCUCUCCACUGCAUGGGCACUUGAGCUGGUCUAAGCCAAACCUUUUGGGCCUUCAAUUCGUCCAUAACACAAACCAGUCCAACUAGGGGUUUAGAUGCUGAUAUUAUAGAUGCAGAUGAAGGCCUAGCCUUUGGUGAAAAUGGUUAACUAGGGGUUUGAUGCACCCCUAGACUAAUCCUCUCUUUGCUUAUGUUAUUUUAAUCUUGAAUGUUGUAUUUGUAUGAACAUGUAAAACAUCACAUUAUAUUGGAAUUUUUAUGUUAGAA